rnacentral:misc_RNA from 1 species
AACCAUAGAAACCUGCGGAGUACCUGCGGAAGGAUCAUUACAGAGUUGCAAAACUCCCACAAACCAUCGCGAAUCUUACCCGUACGGUUGCCUCGGCGCUGGCGGUCCGGAAGGCCCUCGGGCCCCCGGACCCUCGGGUCCCCCGCUCGCGGGGGGCUGCCCGCCGGAGUGCCGAAACCAAACUCUUGAUAUUUUAUGUCUCUCUGAGUAAACUUUUAAAUAAGUCAAACUUUUAACAAU